UGCUGGUCUGUGACUUUAUACAAAGCAAUAACCAACCUUCCCCACAGCAAACACAAAAUAGCCUGGGAAGUUCUCCUCUGUCACACAGCAGCACAAAUUGCCCUCCUGGGCCAAACCCUGUUGUUCAAGGGAUCCAAGAGCAACUCCAAGAGUGCCCCAAGCACCUACAGCCUGUAGCCCAAGUGAGCACUCAGAUGGGACCUAAGCAAAGGAAGCCAGAUCAAGAAAAUGGCCCACAGCAUUGCACAUGUGAGAAACGACUCUCACUUUGAAAACUUUAAGGGUUUAUUAAACCUUAACAAAGGACUGAACAAGGAAAAAUGUUCAGCACUGGCAGUCUCUGUGACUUGCAGCCACAUCCUCAUCUACAAAAGAGGAAACAAUCAGUGGCACCAGGCUGGAUGCAGGCUCAGCAGAUGUUAUAAAUGGAUGCUGCACAAAGGAAAAAAGAAAAUCAAGAGAAGUCAAUGAACCAUGACUUUCCAAACUCAGUGCUUCACAGGAUUCACAGGGCUCCUAGAAAGAUCCAGAAAGAUGGACCAUCUGCACCUCAAUCAUCAUGUGCAAGACCUUGCCAUCACAGACAAACCUGGCCCAGAAUCCCACUCAUCCUUUUAUGAAGGACACUUGCACCAGAUGACCUUUACAGGGCCCUGCCAGCCCAACC